ACAGCAGCCGCCACGGGAAUACGUAGGUGGCAAGCGUUGUCCGGAAUUAUUGGGCGUAAAGGGCUCGCAGGCGGUUUCUUAAGUCUGAUGUGAAAGCCCCCGGCUCAACCGGGGAGGGUCAUUGGAAACUGGGAAACUUGAGUGCAGAAGAGGAGAGUGGAAUUCCACGUGUAGCGGUGAAAUGCGUAGAGAUGUGGAGGAACACCAGUGGCGAAGGCGACUCUCUGGUCUGUAACUGACGCUGAGGAGCGAAAGCGUGGGGAGCGAACAGGAUUAGAUACCCCUGUAGUCCCUGUCUCUUAUAC
rnacentral:rRNA from 1 species